rnacentral:rRNA from 1 species
CACGUAGGGCGCAAGCGUUGUCCGGAAUUAUUGGGCGUAAAGAGCUCGUAGGCGGUCUGUUACGUCUGCUGUGAAAACCCUGGGCUUAACCCUGGGCUUGCAGUGGAUACGGGCAGACUAGAGGCAGGUAGGGGAGAAUGGAAUUCCCGGUGUAGCGGUGAAAUGCGCAGAUAUCGGGAGGAACACCGGUGGCGAAGGCGGUUCUCUGGGCCUGACCUGACGCUGAGGAGCGAAAGCCAGGGGAGCAAACGGG